ensembl:lncRNA
CUUGACUGCACGAACUCAACCUUGCAUCGAAGUAGACCGUUACUGCAGGUUUUCCACCUGAUGCUCAUCAAUCCAAUUAACUGUGCAGCUUUUUUAAGUCAUUCUCCACUGGGGCUACUAAAGUGGAAGCUGUAUGGAAAGUUCAGGCAAGCAAAGCUUCUCUUCAGGAAAGAUCCCUAUUCAUGUUUAUUAGAUGUACUUGAUCCCCAUGUUCUUAUUUCCUUAUUAUCUCCUUGUUUAGUAAACUAGUAUUGUUUGCUAGUGGAAAAAUAGUCAUCCGAUAAUUUCUAGUUUGGCUUUAUGGUGUGUCCUUUUUUUUUUUUUUUUUUUUUUUUUUUUUAAUAAAAUCUGGAAACAUCUAAAAUUGUUUCUUAGCAACCCUUUUCACUUGGCCAUUUCCUUCUAUUCAGCUCCCCAUGGAGUGUUUCUAAAACUGUAGUGAGGUUGGACAUAACAGAGAAGCUGAAACUUUUCCUCUUCUUGUAUAAAUGAUGAGACUGGGCCCAGAUACCACAGACUACUAGAAGCGUUCUCCAGUAUAUUAAAUUAUGUCCAUGAAACAAUAAAAAAUACUUGCAAGUUGAGAUAAUAAGUGAAUUAUUGGCAAGAAUACUGAUAACUGUAAUUGUUAUUCUUAGAAAGGACAAAGAAGAUAAGGACAGCUAUUCCCUCAUUGUUCUGUGCAGAAGGUUAAUUUUGUCUAAACUGAAGCUUAGUCAUUUAUCUGACUCCACAAAGGUACUUCUGACUCUCUUCAUCUUCUUCAAGUACCUUCUCUUACUUUUCCAUACCUUGUGGUCAGCUCAGUUAUCCACCACCUCAUAGUGUGCUCUGAAUGCCCCUGCAUAUUUGUGAAUGUAUCAAAUCAGUAGCAUGUAUUUUACCUGUGUGAGAUGAAAUGACUCAUGCAUCACCCUUUUUGGUUGCCAUGAGUUUCCAAAAAUACACAUCACCAAGACAAAAAGUGUAAGUCCAUCCAAAAAGAUCAGGAGCACAGUACUGAUUCUCAUUUCUAUACCUUCCAGUUCCAUUCCUCUUCAUGUAAGAGGAGUAUCAAACUGCUUUAUAAUUGAGAUUUUUUUUUUUCUUUUUCACAGCAUGUUCUAACAGUGAAGUCCAUUCACCCAUUAACUGCUGUGGAAAUGCUCUGAGAGAUACAAUGGGCUGCUGAAGAAAAGGAAUGGAUCUCCUGUUCAUUUGCUGCUUAAGAGCCCCAGCAAUGAACAGUGCACCCUUUUUGUUCCUGGCAUUCCUCCCAGUUUAAUGGGUGCCAUUUACCAAAACACUGAUUCGUUUAUCUGAAUAUGAAAAUAUUCCAAGAAAAACGUCAAAAUUCUGCAUGUAACCUUCAGCAUACCUUGGGACUCACAUUUUUGUUAUUGGAUCCAAUAAGGGAAUUGCCAAGAUCCUACAAUGAACAGUCUCCUUGGUUAGAACAAGGUCCCGCUACCUUCUGCUGUUUCACCAAUAUGAAAGAGACUUCAUAUCAAUCAGGAAAGGCAACUGGAAUGUCUCAGGAGAGGCACAGGAAAAAUCUCCUUUAUGCUCUUCUUGUCCCUGUUUUAGACAUAAUCUCUGGCUUCAGCAUGGAAAUUUAGGCAGUGAAAUCCAGAAUGACAGUAAACAGUUAUUCUUGUGUACUUAUUUAUUUAUUUAUUUAUUUAUUUACGAUGCCUCCUUUUUUCUCAAAAAACUUGAGUGGAGUUCCAUUAAACUUAGAUAACCACUGCUUCAACCAUCAGCAAAUUAUAAGAUUAGAGAUAUACUAAUACAAAUCCUUUUCCUUUAAUCAAGUUUAUGUGUACAAACUGAAAAUCUGAAGAUCUGUGAAAACCUUUUAAUCAACAAAGAAUCUGGGGUGAAACAAUCUCAGACAACAUUUGGCAACACUUAUCUUGUUUUGUUUGUUAUCACUGUGUUGUUCAUAUACACUCAGUCUUGGCAUUCAUUGACAAAGCUGGCACUGGGGUCCAGAGCAACAGAAGGAGGUUCAAAACUGAAUUGCUAAUGUAAAAUCUGUAAUUUAC